rnacentral:rRNA from 1 species
CUACGGGUGGCUGCAGUGGGGAAUAUUGGACAAUGGGGGAAACCCUGAUCCAGCAAUGCCGCGUGUGUGAAGAAGGCCUGCGGGUUGUAAAGCACUUUCGGUUGGGAGGACUGCUUCUAGCACUAAUAUUGUUGGAAGUUGACGUUACCUUCAGAAGAAGCACCGGCUAACUCCGUGCCAGCAGCCGCGGUAAUACGGAGGGUGCAAGCGGUAAUCGGAAUUACUGGGCGUAAAGCGCGCGUAGGCGGCUAGAUCAGUCGGGCGUGAAAGCCCCGGGCUUAACCUGGGAACUGCAUCCGAUACUGUCUAGCUUGAGUACAGGAGAGGAGAGUGGAAUUCCACAUGUAGCGGUGAAAUGCGUAGAUAUGUGGAGGAACACCAAUGGCGAAGGCAGCUCUCUGGCCUGAUACUGACGCUGAGGUGCGAAAGCGUGGGGAGCAAACAGGAUUAGAUACCCCUGUAGUC